AUGCUCGACACCUACGGGAGACAGCAGGUGGGGAAUAUUGCACAAGUGGGGGAAACCCUGAUGCAGCGACGCCGCGUGAAGGAAGAAGUAUUUCGGUAUGUAAACUUCUAUCAGCAGGGAAGAAAAUGACGGUACCUGACUAAGAACGCCCCGGCUAACUACGUGCCAGCAGCCGUGGUAAUCUGAGCGGGCUGGCAAGGC
rnacentral:rRNA from 1 species